CACGUAGGGCGCAAGCGUUGUCCGGAAUUAUUGGGCGUAAAGAGCUCGUAGGCGGUCUGUUGCGUCUGCUGUGAAAACCCGGGGCUUAACCCCUGGCUUGCAGUGGAUACGGACAGACUAGAGGUAGGUAGGGGGGAAUGGAAUUCCCGGUGUAGCGGUGAAAUGCGCAGAUAUCGGGAGGAACACCGGUGGCGAAGGCGGUUCUCUGGGCCGUACCUGACGCUGAGGAGCGAAAGCGUGGGGAGCGAACAGG
rnacentral:rRNA from 1 species